GGACUACCGGGGUAUCUAAUCCUGUUUGCUCCCCAAGCUCUCGUGUCUGAGCGUCAGGUAUUGGCCAGAAAGCCGCCUUCGCCACUGGUAUUCUUCCCGAUCUCUACACAUUUCACUGCUCCACCGGGAGUUCUACUUUCCUCUCCAACCCUCAAGCCUCUCCGUUUCGGUUGCCCCCUCCCAGUUGAGCCGGGAGAUUUCACCGCCGACAAAAGAGGCCGCCUGCACACGCUUUACGCCCAGUAAUUCCGGACAACGCUCGUCUCCUACGUAUUACCGCGGCUGCUGGCAC
rnacentral:rRNA from 1 species